GAUAGUCAAGCAGUCUAUCAGUUUUUGACUGCUGGAAUAUAAACAACUGCAACAAUGUACCGUAAAUCUAUACGGGUGCUCUUCGACUGCUUGUCGAAGUCCUUUUUGCCCCAGCCGGUAGGUCUCUAGACGUUACAGAGAACCCCGAACAACCCAAACUGUUAACCUUCAAUACUGCUUUGUACUUACGAUCUUGUAUACACUGACUGUCUUGUUAGAUUAACCCAAUAAAUUUCAUUCACUCCGCAUACUCAAUCCUAUAGACACCCUUUUAAUCCUUCAAUCACAGACGUAACUCGAUUUCACAAAACAGUCAAGAGUAUUCAAACCCACUUCAUUUAAAAUCCCGAUUCACCAUUACAACACUGACUUCAGCAGCGAUUGCCUCAGUCUUCCCCAAAACUCUACGAAGAAGAAAAAUCCAAAUUCUAUGUCUUUCCUUCCCCGACCCG
rnacentral:lncRNA from 1 species